GUUGGACUCCCGAGUCUGAGGACGUAAAUACACAAGGCCCAAACUAAAUAUUGACAUUGACGACAUACAUACAUAUACUUCACAAUCCUAAGCUGUUCUUUCCAAAAACCUUUUCCUGUAACCCUCCAUGAAGGGCACUAAAAACCUAUGGAGGCUAACAGAAGGGAGACACAAGGUACCCACGCUGCUCACGGUUACUGCACUUCCAAAUGCUAAUAAAAAUUAUGGACAAUGCGACAACUACAAGCCUAACUACAGAAACGUAUGAAAGGAUUGAAGGUGGCAGUGCCGUCGCCAAUCUUCUUUUGCCCGUUAAGAAGUCGAUCUUUGAGCUAUAGCUUGCUACUGACUUUGCGCUCGCUUCCUGGGAAGCUUUACUACUGCUCCUGGACUCUGCAUUAGGCAUCUGGGGCUGUUUCACAACAUCAACCGUGGCGACCGCCGCAGCACCACCAUCACUGGCACAAUUACCUCCAAUAGUCUUGUUUUCUGAAGCUUUUUCCAUCUUGCUUGAGAUUGAUGGGGUGUCAUUAUUCCGCCAUCCACCAUUCUCCCUACACGUAUUGCUAGAGCAUGAGGCUGGCGUUACAAGUUUGCUU
rnacentral:misc_RNA from 1 species